ACAACUUUGUCCUGCAGUUGUGACCUUCCAUGGAGAUAAUGUGCUCCACAGGUUCAAUGAGCUAUUGGAAGUUUCUGUGAGUUUACAACGUUGUACGUGAUUCAGAGGCAUAGGAUCACACUGCCUCAGAUGCAUGUCCUCACACCACACCAUCAUUUGCACUGCGUUCAGAUAUUCAACAUGUAAAUCCAUCAUAUUAAUGCCUUGAAUAUAAUCCAUUCUGAACAAAAGCAUCAUGAUGAUGAUGAUGAUGAUGAUGACGUGGACAAAUGAAUAUAUUCUCUAUUACUGGAGGAGCAUGAAAAGUCAGCUUGAGCCUCCCAUUUGCCAUUAAGUUUCUUUGCCAAUAUGUUGCUGUUUUUCUUGGUUGUUGUUUUUCUUACACUAAUGAAACCUCAAAAAAAAAUCUCUAUAUAUAUAUCACUCUAUACUACAUAACCCUUGAAGUGGAAGAAUAAGCAAUUUGUUCUAUUUCCAUUGAUUGUUUGAAAAAGCUAAAGGUAUUAAAGCUAAUAUUAUCUUUC